rnacentral:rRNA from 1 species
AUGAUCAUAGUAUCGGAUUGCCCGUUAUGUGGGACAGAUUGUGAGAGUAUUCGACAUGCUUUCUUUCGCUGUCACAGAGUGCAGGAGAUCUGGGAAAAGCUUGGUUUGAGCUCCACUAUCAACGAGCUGUGUGAAUCUGAGAUGGAAGGAGCGUCGGUUCUUGGUGACUUGCUUUUGAUGCCAAAUGAUGCAGUGCCGAUGCUACCGGAGGUGUCUAGGAAGGAGCUCGUAGCGGUGGCCGUAUGGUAUAUCUGGUGGGAACGCCGGAGAGUUACUCAUGGGGAGGCCAUCCAGGAGCCGGCUCGAUCGGCCCAGGCUAUUGCAACUUUGACCAAGAACUUCAUGAGAGCAAAGAAGCAACGACGAGGGCGAAUCCAGAAGCAAGGAUGGAAAAAACCAGCUGAGGGAUUUGUCAGCUUAAAUGUGGAUGCAUCCUUUGAUGCGGACAGUGGCACUGCUUCGGCGUCACACAUUCCGUUCGUCGAGGAUGCAGUAACGGCGGAGGCGAGAGGCCUCAAGGACGGGCUAAUCCUCGCAAACGAUAUUGGAUGCAAUAAGGUGGAGAUACGUGCUGAUUGUAUGGAGGUGAUCGAAAUCAUGCAACAUGGAGGGAAUUCCCUGGGGCCAGUGGCAACCAUCUACGAGGAAUGUACCUUUUUAUGUCGCAACUUUAUUUUUGUUUCUUUCUGUCAUAGUCCUAGGGAGGCCAAUAUGGCGGCAGAUCUACUGGCUACAAAGUCGGAGCACUCGAGAACUAUUGUUUGGCAGAACGAGGCUCCGGACUUUUUGCUUGAUGUACUUUCAAAUGAUGUAGCCCUUUUCCCUCAUGAAAUAUAA